rnacentral:misc_RNA from 1 species
GUCCUUGGUGGCGGCGGU